GCGACCCCAGGUCAGGCGGGAUUACCCGCUGAAUUUAAGCAUCAAUAAAAGAGGCGGAGAGAAA
rnacentral:rRNA from 1 species